AACGUAGGAGCCAAGCGUUAUCCGAAUUUACUGGGCGUAAAGCGCGUGCAGGCGGCAUGGUAAGUUGGAUGUGAAAGCUUCCGGCUCAACUGGGAGAGGACGUUCAAAACUGCCAAGCUAGAGGGCGACAGAGGGAGGUGGAAUUCCCGGUGUAGUGGUGAAAUGCGUAGAUAUCGGGAGGAACACCAGUGGCGAAGGCGGCCUCCUGGGUCGCACCUGACGCUCAGACGCGAAAGCUAGGGUAGCGAACGGG
rnacentral:rRNA from 1 species